CCCUGCUCUCAUGGAAAAAGACAACCACCCAGUGUCCUGGUCUUAGCCCUCAGAGGUCGGUGGGGCAGACUAUUUCUAGUGCUCGUCAGCCU
rnacentral:sRNA from 1 species